CCCCUUCUGCAGCUUCAGCCCUCGUUUCCCUCCGGCUGUGGUGCCGGCUUCCCUCUGAAGAGCGUUGACUCGGAAAGGCCACGAUCCUGGUGCCGGCGUCCGCAAUGCGAGUAGCCAAGCACCCGGACAUCCUGCUGGCACAGAAUCAAAUGUUUAAUGGUGAAUGAAGGCGAAAUAACCACCAUGGUUCGGAAACGUUCCAUUCAAGUAAUCACAAGUAAUUACAGAGCUGUCUCUGACGGUUGAUGUCCUGAAAGCCACGUGCCAACUGACCAGUGGUGGUAAUAGAAAGAUGAAAUGGGAAUUUGGCCUCUACUGCACUGAAGAGGAAAAGAAUGUAAGUUGACAAAACUUGAAAGGGCUGACACUGUCCUGCUGGUGCUGGAAAUCUGUUAAUGAUAAGGACAAGGUCAAAAGCACCAAAGUACCAUGAUGAAAAGAGUAGUUCUGAAGUGAAUGGAAAUACAGGUGUGUACCCAACUCUGAAGAUUUAUUUUUAAUUCAAGACUUGAAAUCUCCAGCCACAUCUGCCCAUUGACCACUCCAGACAUUUUGUUGCUGUGGCAAGGACUGCAAAUACCAUGUUGAAGAAAAGUGGGGAGAGAGGCACCUGACCAACUCAGUCAGAAGAGCAUGUGACUCUUGCUCUCGGGAUUAGAGAGAGACAGCAAGAGAGGAAACACAAGCAGAGGGAGUGGGAGAGGGAGAAGCAGGCUUCCCGCCGAACAGGGAGCUUGACAUGGGGCUCGAUCCCAGGACCCCAGGACCAUGAUCUGAGCCGAAGGCAGAUGCUUAACGACUGAGCCACCCAGGGAUCCCUAACUCCGCUUACACUACUGGGAUGGGACUUUCCAGCGCUAAGAAGCAACAAAGGUUGAGACAAUGGAGGAACUUCCCAGCUGGGACGUCUCAUGACAAAUGCAGUGGGAGCUGGCACGUCCAGAUUCUUGGAACCCUAGUCUAUUUGACUGGCCUGCAAAGUGCACCCUGAAGAAGAUCCCACCAGAUGACCCAGACUGAUCUUAUUUCAAGAUAAUUUCCUUUAAAGAGAAAUCAGGAAGGAAUUUGUUAUACACAAUUUAGAUCUGGAAGCAUCCAAAGCCUGCUGAGGAAUGACAGUUUCCAGUAUAGAAAGUAACUUUAACAUUUUCUGUUAGUUUGUUCAUUCUGGGGGAAGAGUUCUUUCAACUUGUCCUUUAACUCUUCAUGACCUGUGUCCUGUUUCCAACCAGGACCAACUUUCUUCUGAGGUUGGGAAUUGGAACACCUUUCCAAUAUUCUUUCCUGCUUCCACAUCCCAGCCCCUUCUGUGAGCCAAGUCCUCAAAACACAUAGUAUAAUCCUGUUUCAAUUGUAAAAUUAUAACCUAAGCAUUUCUUUAUUCAUGGAAUUAAAAGAUAAGUCAGAAUUUUUCUUUGUUUUCCUUUCCCCAUUGUAUUUACAAAUGAAAUGGAACCUACCAGCAUAUUGUUUUUUGAGCCCUCGAAUAUUUCUCUAUCCCUGCAGUUAUAUUGAAAUAGAACAGAUGGAAGCACAGUAGGAUCUGUCACAUAUGCUACACAGAGAGUCAAAAGGCUAUCAGUGCUUUCCAAAACAAGCAAGAGAAAGAAAGAAAGGGGGGCAGAGGGUGCAGAGAACAGUGGCUAUUCUUGAUAUAUGUUAACUGGUACCACGUGGCUCAUUAAACUGUUUUGAGAAGGAAGUUAAGCCCUGGAAAAGCCACUCUCUCCAUAAAUGCUACUUUUUUCUUUUUCUUUUUUAAGUAGGCUCCAUACCCAGCAUGGAGCCCAACGCAGGGCUUGAACUCAUGGCCCUGAGAUCAAGACUUGAGCUGAGAUCGAGACCUAAGCUGAGAUCAAGAGUUGGAUGCUUAGCCAACUGAGCCACUCAGGGGAUCCAAGUGCUAAAUUUUCUAAGCACUAUUUUAUUUUGUUUUUUUUUUUUUUUUUAGAUUUUAUUUAUUUAUUUGAGAGAGAGAAUGAGAGACAGAGAGCAUGAGAGGGAGGAGGGUGAGAGGGAGAAGCAGACUCCCCGCUGAG